rnacentral:rRNA from 1 species
CGUACACUCCUACGGGAGGCAGCAGUGGGGAAUAUUAGACAAUGGGCGCAAGCCUGAUCCAGCCAUGCCGCGUGAGUGAUGAAGGCCCUAGGGUUGUAAAGCUCUUUCACCGGUGAAGAUAAUGACGGUAACCGGAGAAGAAGCCCCGGCUAACUUCGUGCCAGCAGCCGCGGUAAUACGAAGGGGGCUAGCGUUGUUCGGAUUUACUGGGCGUAAAGCGCACGUAGGCGGACUAUUAAGUCAGGGGUGAAAUCCCGGGGCUCAACCCCGGAACUGCCUUUGAUACUGGUAGUCUUGAGUUCGAGAGAGGUGAGUGGAAUUCCGAGUGUAGAGGUGAAAUUCGUAGAUAUUCGGAGGAACACCAGUGGCGAAGGCGGCUCACUGGCUCGAUACUGACGCUGAGGUGCGAAAGCGUGGGGAGCAAACAGGAUUAGAUACCCUAGUAGUCCCAUGA